rnacentral:lncRNA from 1 species
CCAGAAACCACCCUGAACAUGAUUGUAUGUGUCCUAAGGAUUCCUCUCAGUCCUUCUGGCUCUGGGAUACAUCAUGUGGGUCUCUGCCACUAGAGGAAGCAACUCAUCAUGGCUCAGAAAUACAAAGAGUUCUAGGGGUCCUAUGGCCUCCUUUUCAGUGCUGCAGUAGAGGGUCCAUAUAGCCUUUCUCUCCCCACCAGCACUACGUGUCAAAGCCCUGGGCUUCAUGGGCACAAGGAAACCUGGACACUUGGACGGUGGACUCCUGGUGGCUGGCGGGCUUAGAAUCUCAGUGGAGGCACUCGUGGGGGACAGUCCCGAAGAAUGAGGAAUACAGGGUGGACAGUGAAUUCAGCGGCCCACAAGGCUAAGUGGAGUGGCCAGCAGAAAGCUCCUCGUGGGGUUACUGAGGUUGGUCAUUUGUCCAAACCUGAGGAGCCGUGAAAGUCUUCACAGUCAGGUCAGGAGCAAGCAUGGAAGCAGGGAGGCCCGGUGGAGAACUUGGUAGGAACCAGGAAUCAUGUCUGGCAUGCUAUGGCAAUCAGUUGCAACAGGAACAGCAUGAAUGAACUCAAGGGACACACCCAGCAAGCUGCCUUGACCAGAGCCUGGAAGGAUUGGUGAGUUCCCUAGGGCACCAUGCAGUAAGCACUUGUCCUCACAGCUAAUGACCCCUAUAUGCUGUGUGUCCUCAGAUCACGUCCCAUAAUGGAGAGCUGGAGUCUAGUUCAUGAGAACCCACAGAAAUUAAGGUAAUGUGGUUAGGGUCAUUGCUAGAGAAGGCUCUAGGAGUUCCACACCCCGCCCCCCUGAUCGGCAGGAAAAGAGAGGAGGAAGCCACUGGGCCUGGCUUGAGCUUCUGAAACCUCAAAGCCCACCCCCAAUGACACAUGUCCUCCAAGGCCAUGCCUCCUAGUACUGCCACUCCCUAUGAGUCAGUGGGGGCCAUUUUCAUUCAAACCACACCACAACAUGGUAUCCUCCACCUGGAAUCCAACAUUUUCCAUUUGAACCCUUCACACUCCAUUUUCCACUUUGCAGCAUUCACUAUCCACCCCAUGCUCUCCAUCCUCCAUCUUUUACUCUCCUCUCUCUCCACUCUAAAUCCCAUCUUUUAUUCAUCUGCAUCCUCCAUACUCCAUUGUUUGCUCUCCAUCUUCUCCACCAUUCCUCCUGCACUCUUCACAUCAGCUCUCCAUAUUCUUUUUCAUCUCUUCAACCUCCACUUCUCAUUUUUCCUUCCCCAUGCCUCCUUCACUUCCAUCCACCAUGCACCAUGCAUGGCCCAUCUUCUUUAUUUCAUCACGGUACCAACACCUCCUACUCGACACUCUGCUCUACAGUCCGUUCUCUAUCCUCCAUGCUUUUGCAGGCUUCGACACAUCAUUAGACAUUCCCUGUACUCCAUACUGUAUUCUUCUUACAUAUCACAUUUCCCUUCCCACCUUCAUAUUGUAUACCUCAUUGCUUCCUCUCACUUCUCCAUUCUGUAAUCUAUCUCCCAGCCCUUCUCCUCUUCAUGCCAUUUCCUAUACUGUAUUUUAUACUACAUGUUUGCAUGUUUUGUAUAUGUUUUAUAAACUCUGCAUUUCCUUCCUCGUUACCCAUACACUAUUUUCUACCUCCAUUUAUUUGUGUUUUUAAGUUGUAUUUAUUUUUGUUUAUUGUGAGUCUGUGCCUAUGUGCCUGGAUAUGCAUAUCAUAGCACAUGUGUGAAGGCCAGAGGGAAACUUUGUGGAAUUCUUACUUAGUAUUCUGUAAUGUUUCCUAGUUUCUCCAUUCACCAUUGCACAUGCUCUAGCUUCAUUUGCUGUGGACCAUAUUGUGUUCUUUACACCCCAUAUGGAAUAUGAGAUAUUCUACCUUCUACCCUCGAGUCUCUCUUUACACACAAAGCUCCGUUCUCUGCUUCCACAGUCUGCUCUCAGCUCUAUACUCCACACACCGUUCUACACAGUUUUUCUAUUCCCUGGACACCAUAAUAUAUUCAUCACAAUCUAUUUGUUCUACAUGUUGUGCUCUCCACACAAACAUUCCGUUCUCAAUGUUCAUACUUUUUACUUUGUUCUGCAUUGCCAAUUACCAAUAUGCUCAUCAUCUAUUCCCCAUAUACCAUACUCCAUACGCUUCACCAUUAUUCUCUCUAUUCCAUGUUCCUAAUGCCAUCCUCCACACCUACUGAACAUCAUGCUGUUCUCCUCACCCCACUUACACUGUUCCAUUUCCCACACCCAGUGCUCACUAUGCACAUCUUCACUCCCAGUGUACACGAUGCCCUCUCCACUCCGAUGUGCACCUUGCCAUUCUUCACGCCUGAUGUACGUCUUGCCAUUCUCCAUGCCUGAUGUUUGUUUUCCACAUAGGAGCACACCGCGCCAUUCUGCACUCCGUUCUCUGAACACCACACCCUCUGCAUUCCGCUCUCCAGAUCUGCUGUAUUUUACUAUAUUCUUACAUUCCUCAUACUGCAUAGAACUCCUGUUACAUCCUCCAUCUUUCACGAUCACAUUCCACGUGUCACUUUUUAUUUCUGAAGCUAUGUUUCAUAGGCUGCACUCUUCAUUCUCCAGAACUCACACUUCAUCUCCCACACUCCUUUCUGUAUGCUAUCAUCUUCUCUCCAGUCUCUUUCUCCUUAAUUCAUUCUCUGCUUGAAACAAUUCAACAUUCUCUGUAUCAUAACUCCAUAUGCCACACUACAUCUUCUUCCACCCCUCCUUCAUACCUUGUGUACAGUCAUAGCAUCCUCCCGUACAUCCUCUGUUUUCUCAACCCAAUGUGCUAUGCCCAAACUUCAUGCUUCAUUUCCUGGACCCUAGUCUCUGCAACAUCCUCCAUUUGGCAUGUUCCAUCCCACAUUCCCAUUCUGUCAGGUUCCCACAUUGUUCCCAUGCUGGAAAUUGAACUCAGGACCUCUGGAAGAGCAAUCAGUGCUCUAAGCCUCAUGUUCCAUCCAUAAUAUUCUCCCAUCCAUCCUUAUAUCUCACCACUCAAUACUUCAUACUUCUUAAACUGCAUUCUCUUCUCUAGACUUCAUGAUUCAUCCAUUGUGUUCUUCCCUCCAUUCUGCAUUCUCCUCAUUUCACAUUCUGUUUCCAGUCUUUCACAAAAAGUACUCCAGUCUCCUAACCUCAGGCUCAAUUCAUUAUAUCCUUCCCCUUGUUCUCCAUCCUGUUUACUCUAUAUAUUGCCCUUGUACUCCACACUUCAUUCUACAUUUUCUAUGUCUAUGUCACAUGUUCUAUAAGUUAUAGGUAAAAUGGACAUAUUUUCAAAUUUUUGAGAUAGAGUUUCUCUGUGUAGCCCUGGGUGCUCUGUAGAUUGAACUCAGAGAUCUACCUGCUUCUGCCUCUUGAGAGCUGGGAUUAAAGGAGUAUGCCACCACCCCAACUGUAUUUUCAGUUUUUAAUGAGUGAGCUUAUUAAGUAGAUAGCAAACAAAUAAUAAGGAAAUAGAUGGCAAAUAAAAGAGAGAGGGAGAUGCAUCAGAAAAAUAGUAAAAUGUCAAAUCAGACCCUUGCAAAGUCUAGCAGAGACAAUCGGAGUAGUCAGCUUGAGAGAGCAAACAAAAGCAACAUCAUCAAAUUGGGGACUUACAAACACCCAGCAGAAACCAAUUGGGAGGGGGACCCCACUGAGGCAGCCAGAUGGGGUUCCCAAAGAGGAGAAUCCUGGGCCCCGGCAGAGUAUCCCCUAAGGCAAGGCUUUCAAGUCAAAGGACAAAUAACACCAGAUAGGCACGCUCACAACAUGCAGCAGGAACUUCCAGAGGCAGCCAGGCUGAAGCAAGCAUGCUGGAGUUCUGGACGAGAGUUUUGUUGGAGCAAAGUGUUCUCUCCAAAGAUGAGCUUCCAGCUUCUCUUUCCACCACAGGCAUUUUUAAUGUCAUGGGAUUAAAUAAUCACAACUUCUGUCAGAAUAGUUUACUUCCUAGCCUUUCUCAAAGGCACAAUGAUUGUAUUGCCAUUAGCUGUUGCUGAGUUCUGCUCUCACUGUUACAGAGCAAGGGAGCUGCUGGAGGCAGGACAAUGUUUGGAAGAUACUUGACAUAAACACUCUUGGAUGGGGGGCAACCCCACUUACAGAGUCGGCUUCUCCAAGAGCAAGACCAUUUAAACAAUGUAGCAUACAUUACACCACAACAGCACCAAUUCUUCAUGUUCUCCCUUCUGUUUUCCUCACUCUGGGGUUGUGUGGUAUGGCCAGCGCUGUUCUCCAUACCUCAGUCUCCAUUUGCCACAUCCCCUCUUCAUUUCCUAUCCACUUCAUUCUAUAAUCUGUUCUAUCCCAGAUUUCAUACUGCAUUCUAGGCUAGGCUACACACCCUGCAUCCCAUUUACCAUCUUCUUCCCUACAUUCUCAUGUCCUCGUCAGUACUCUCUGAUUCUGUGUCACACUUGAUUCUAUGUCAUUGUGCAUAGUGUCUUCAUGGCACCUCACACUGUGUUUCCCGGGCCCCUGGCAUUCUUCAUGUAGCACACUGCUCUCAUUCCAUAUGCUACAUUCUACACAGCAUCUUUCAUACCCUAUGUGCCAUUCCCCGAGUUCUUCCCUACGCUCUGCACGCUCCUCUCUUCUCACUCUGCCUCAUAUGUCUGUCAGGCUUUGUUCUCCAUAGUCUGUUCUCUAUACUGCAUCCUCUACUCACUAUGUUAUUAAACGGCUCUCCAGUCUUCUUGCUCCGCCUUUCUCCCCACACCUAAUUCUUCACUCACUCUACCACAGGCCUUGUGCUCCAUUGACCAUGGUCUCCCUACUUCACCAUUUGAGGGCUCCACAUUCUGCUCCCCACAAUCGACGUCUCAUUUACCUAGUGUUCCCUCCACACCUCAUACUCCAUUCACCAUGUUUGUCCUUCCAUUGCCUGUGCGCCUCCCUCCAAAGUCUAUUCUGCAUUCUGUUCUCCAUGUCUCAUGCUGCACAGCUAUCUCUAUGUCUCUGUCUCUGUCUCUCUCUCUCUCUCUCUUUUUCUCUCUCCCUCCCUCUCUUUCUAUAUAUACCAGUCACGACCCCAGGCUUUUGUUCUCUUCACACCGUGCUUUAGUCCCUUGCUUACCUACAGUGUGUACACAGUUCUCCUUUUACCCUGUUCUCUCCCCCAUCUUUAGUUUCCUCGUGUUAUACUUUGUUGCUCUCCUCCAUACAUCAUGUACCUCCGAGCACUCCCCACUCCAUUUUACAUUCUCUUUACGCUAUGUCUAUCUCUAUGUCUGUCUCUAUGCUACACACUUCAUUCUACAUAGAUUCAUCGUACUUCCAUUGUACAGAGUUUGUUCUUGUCGCCUCUCAUGCCACUCACCAGGUUCUCACCACCAUUCUCUAUCCACCUCACUCCAUAUUGUGCCCCCAAACUUCUCUCUACUUAUUUACUCUCUGUAGCUCAUGGCUGCCCACCGUGGUACCUCCUCUAUUCUUCUCAGCCCACCCUCCACACUUCUUUCUGUGGAGUCUCAUGACAUCCCUCACAUGCCACUGGCCAACUUCUCUCUUGUCCGUUCUCCUCACUCAAGUUUGCUCACAUGGCUUUUCUACCUGACUUCUGUACACCACGCCCCAUUCACCACAUCCCCUUUCCUUACACUCCACUGUUGCCAUAUUCCAUAGCUAUGUCUCCAUAUUUUAUCUUCCUUACCCCAUAGUCCAUUCCCAGUGUUCUUCCCUCGGCUUCCCAUUCCCCUUGCUUUUCUCAUGCUCUGUACUUCGUCCUGUACACUAUAAUCAUACACACCCCACACUCCGCUUGCUGCAUCCCCCCUUAGAUCUCUCAGUUUGUUCCAUACUCUACAUUUGAUACUGUGUGCUCUACACUGAUCGCCUCAUGCUCUAGUCAGUGUUUUUGCCUGUCUAUUUGCUAUCCCCCCCCCCCACACCUCACUGUGCAUAGUCUUUUCUAAAUAACUCACACUCUGGUCACCGCAUUCUCUUACUCUUCCCACACAGUAGUACACUAGUCAUACAUUGCAUAAUUCUUUCCCAACAUUCUAUUCUCUGUACCUGUUGCUCAUUUCACAGAAUGUACCAUAUCCAUCCACUCUCCUCUCUCCAUGCUGGUCCCAUGUGCAGUACCUCAUUUUACAUAGUCUGUUCUUCAUACCACAGACUAUAUUCACCAGGUCACUCACCCCCUUGUGUACUCUUUAUCCUAUUCUGUACCCACCUCUAUGCCUCAUUGGCAUGAUGUUCCUUUGUAUUUUAUUCUCCACUCAUCCUUUCUCCCUUCUGUUUUCCACUGUGUGUACUCUUCUCCCAGAGACCACAGUUCACUCUUUACACUAUUCUCCAUGUGUCCUGUUGCAUACACCAUGUUAUCACCUCUGCAUCCCAUCCAUGUGGUUCCCAAGCUCCCUUCUGCAUACUCUGUACUUUAUCCCUAACACUUCAUGUGUCACGUUCUCCUCCUACUUUUCAUCUCUGUUGCUAUACUUACACAUCACCAUACACACGUCUAUGCAUCAUACACCACUAGCCAUGUUUUCUCUCCAUCCUCCUCUUUCCAAAUGACAUACUUUGUUCUGGGUAAUCUCAUCUCUGUAGCUCAGCCUUUAUUAACCAAGUUUUUACAUCUCCUGUCUAUUUUCUUCACUCUGUAGCUGGUCUCCUGUGCCAUAGGCCAUCGUAUGUACGCUAUUCUUUCCAGCCAUCACUUUCUCUGUGCCCCGUCUCCAAUCUCUGACUGCAUAUUCUGCUCACAUACUUCUGUAUACAUUUCACUCUCUGUACAUCAGGUCCUAUACACAAUCACCUCUCCUUUAUCCUGCCCAUUCUACACUCCAUUCUUUGUUCUACAUAACCAAAUCUCCAUGCCUCUCCACUCCAAUUAAUCAAAUUCCCCUCUCUGUCCUCCAUUCUCACCAAUAUCUAUCCUUAUACUUUCUUAUACUUGCUUUAUCCUCUGUACAUCAUGCCAAGAAAGGCAGUGGCAAGUUUAGGAUUGGGACAGAAUUUCUAACAACUUCUGAAAUGGAUUUGAACUUUCUCCUGAUACUCCGUACUAUGUCUUUAUUCAAAUCAGCAUUCCCAACACUAACAGCCAGAAGAUCAAAAUAUUGGACAACUGUGAAAAAUAUUGAAGAUGUCAGCCUGUGGUAUCAAUUGCUCAGCCAACAUAUAAUUCUUUAUGUUAAAGAAUAAAUAUAUCCAUGUCAUUAGCGGACAGAUCUCUUUCAUUGUUAAUGAAUGGUAAAAUGAUACAUACAUCAAGGAAUUGUUUUGAAAUAAAUUUCUUUAU